rnacentral:rRNA from 1 species
AGAGUUUGAUCCUGGCUCAGAACGAACGCUGGCGGCAGGCCUAACACAUGCAAGUCGAACGCUGUAGCAAUACAGAGUGGCAGACGGGUGAGUAACACGUGGGAAUAUACCCUUUGGUUCGGAACAACUCAGGGAAACUUGAGCUAAUACCGGAUAAGCGCGAGAGCGGAAAGAUUUAUCGCCGAAGGAUUAGCCCGCGUCUGAUUAGCUAGUUGGUGAGGUAAUGGCUCACCAAGGCGACGAUCAGUAGCUGGUCUGAGAGGAUGAUCAGCCACAUUGGGACCGAGACACGGCCCAAACUCCUACGGGAGGCAGCAGUGGGGAAUAUUGGACAAUGGGCGAAAGCCUGAUCCAGCAAUGCCGCGUGAGUGAUGAAGGCCUUAGGGUUGUAAAGCUCUUUUACCAGGGAUGAUAAUGACAGUACCUGGAGAAUAAGCUCCGGCUAACUCCGUGCCAGCAGCCGCGGUAAUACGGAGGGAGCUAGCGUUGUUCGGAAUUACUGGGCGUAAAGCGCACGUAGGCGGCUUUGUAAGUUAGAGGUGAAAGCCUGGAGCUUAACUCCAGAACUGCCUUUGAUACUGAGGAUCUUGAGUUCGGGAGAGGUGAGUGGAACUGCGAGUGUAGAGGUGAAAUUCGUAGAUAUUCGCAAGAACACCAGUGGCGAAGGCGGCUCACUGGCCCGAUACUGACGCUGAGGCACGAAAGCGUGGGGAGCAAACAGGAUUAGAUACCCUGGUAGUCC